rnacentral:lncRNA from 1 species
GCGGCGGCGGCGGCGGCGAGCGGAUCCCGCAGGGGAAGGAGGAGGAGGAGGGAGAGCCAAGGGGGCUGUGAGUGAGCGGGAGAAGCAGGGUGUGAGCCGGACUUGCCCAUGGGAGGGAGAGCGAGCGAGAGCCGAGCCAGCCAUCCGAGCCGCCUCCUCCUCCUCCCCUCGGCGUCCCGCCCCCGCCCGCCAGCCCGCCCUCCUUCCUCCUCAGCCCGCAGAGCCUAAGUGAGGCGCAGCUCGGCUAGCGCCGCUGUCCAGGACAGGUGUGCGCGCGCGCGCCCUCCUCCCCUCCCCCCUUCCUCGCGCCUGUCUCGCGCGCGCCCUCCCUCCCGCCAGCCUGCGCCCUCCCUCACCUGCGGCAGGACAGCGCCCGCCCGCCCGGGUAAGCCCCUCGCGACCUUCCCUGCUGCCACUGCCACAGCUCCAGGUGACGCUCGCCCCGUCCCCUUUACUUGCUCUCUCAGCCCAGGAAUAAUUAUAGUACCAUUGCAGACAUCCCCGCACCCUCCCUCUUGGAGACCCAGGCGGUGCAGCAACGUUCUCUCCCACCCCCCGCAGCGAGAAACGAAUGAACCCCCUCCUACUUUCAAAAGAGAACAAAAUAACACGCCCCUUAAGAAAAGAGGCGAUCCUACCUCCGCAGGCGCUGGAGACCACCAGUGAUGCGUUUGCUUAGCAAUCCCUGAGCCCCAUUUCCCCUGGCCGCCUUCGCCCUGGGGCCUGGGACUGUGCGCUAGACGUGGCUGACACUCCCUGCACGGCAACCCUGGAAGGAGGGAGAGGAAGGAGAGUUCUAUAACCCAGGCUUCACUGCCAACCCCUCCUCUGUUCGGUUCCCCCCACCCCACUACCACCAAAUGCAUACACCCGCCCAGGAUGCGUUGUAAAAACAAAACAAAACCAGGAAAAAAAAAAAAAAAACCUUUGGUGCUGACAUCGCAGAUGAAGCCGGGCCCAAAGAUGGGUGGCCCGAACAAGGCAUUUUUACUGCCCCACAGCGCUGGGUCAGCUCCACAGCUCCUCUGCCUUUGUCCGAGGGCAAAAGGAACGGAUGUGAAGCUGAGGGGUCUUCUCUGUGAGCGGCGGUGGGCCCCGGAGGCGGGCUGUGAUGUUUGUAGGGGAAGGCACCCAACCAAUAUAUCUGCCAUAAACCUGAACUUGGGUUGGAGAGCCCCCAGAGACUGGCUGGGGUAACUGGUUCGUAGCUGUCUACCCCGGAAUAAAUGCCACCUUCUUUUCCGCGGUGUCUGCGGGACCCUCUGUUGGGGGUUCUAAUUCGUUUUGGCCUGGGCUCCUUACAUUUCUGUCCGGCCAGGCGCUUUUGGACAGCUUUUCGCAGCGGUGUCUAAGCUUGUGUUCGGUGUCCUUGGAAGGGAGGUCCCAGAGCUUUACAAUAGGCUGGAUUUGGUUUGACAUCUUUUGGUGGACUGUCAAAGGGGAAAGGAAAUUUUUGGAUUACUUCAAGAUCCCCCACCGCCCCCGCCCAACUGACGUUUGCGAAUUGCGGCUUUGGAAAUUGGAGUGUUGACUAGAGUGUGGAGAGAGAGUUGCUGAUUUCAUUGCUUUGAGUACUAGUAAAACCAUUUAAGUAUCAGCCGGAAGGGAGACAGCUAUUGACAUUUACAUCGGUUCUGUUUGGACCUUUGGGGUACAUAAAAUGUCGGGUUCUCUGAAUUUUUUAUCGAAUUUAGAAUGUCUGCUACAUUUAUUUAACUUCUGCAAAUGCUUAAAAUGAAAACAUUUUGGAAAUGCGAGGAUUUUUAUCAAGUGGAUUGUUCUCUUCAUAUAUUAAAUGUUUACUUCAUAUCUUUAAUCCGAAACAUUAAAAUAGCAUUGAAGAGGCAUGAUUUUCAAGAUUAAGUGAGCUAUGGAAAAGGAAUACGCUUUUAAAGAACGAUCUGGGAAAUGCUGUUACUAUUAGUCAUUGUUGUUGUUAAAUGUUAAGAUUUAUUUGAGAGUUUCUCAAUUUUUUUGGUAGACAGUCAUGAGAAGAAAUGGCUAAUUCCUCCACUUUGAACAUUUACAGUACAACAUCCCAGUUAGUUUUAAUGAUUUGGGUAUUGAAGAUAGUUGUCUGGUUUAAGACUGGUAUUUAAUCUAAGUAUCACUUGAAAACACAAGCUCUAAUGUUCUUUAUUUUGGAAAUUUGUGAUUUUGUAAAAUAUUAAUCAACAUAUUGUUUCUAUUAGGAACUCUAUAAUCAGAAGGGUUUACUACCCAGAGGUAGACAACCUCUUUCCAAGUCUAUUUUAUAAAUGUGUGUUGAUUUUUACUUUAUAAAACCAAAACUGAAUUAGAUUAUUUCAGAAUCACCUGUAGUCAGGCUGAAGAAAAUUAAAGCUUUUUUCUUUUUUGUUCUGCCUAAUGUGUAUUUCUUU